rnacentral:rRNA from 1 species
CCUACGGGAGGCUGCAGUGGGGAAUAUUGGACAAUGGGCGCAAGCCUGAUCCAGCAAUGCCGCGUGUGUGAAGAAGGCCUUAGGGUUGUAAAGCACUUUCAGCAAUGAGAAGUUGUAUUGGCUAAUAUCCAAUAUAAUUGACGUUAGUUGCAGAAGAAGUACUGGCUAACUCUGUGCCAGCAGCCGCGGUAAUACAGAGAGUGCAAGCGUUAAUCGGAAUUUGUGGGCGUAAUUGAAAUAUAUGUUGGUAAAAUCCCUGGGCUUAACCUAGGAAUUGCAUUUAAUACUUUUUAUCUAGAGUAUUGUAGGGGGAAGUGGAAUUUCCGGUGUAGCGGUGAAAUGCGUAGAUAUCGGAAGGAACACCAGUGGCGAAGGCGACUUCCUGGACAAAUACUGACACUGAGACACGAAAGCGUGGGGAGCAAACAGGAUUAGAUACCCUUGUAGUC